rnacentral:lncRNA from 1 species
UUUAGAGGUAAAUAAGGUGAUGGAGUACCGAGGUUGAGAGCCGAGCGAGGUGCCAUUUUGCCGAGGUUCCGGUCCGUGGUCCCUUUAUUACAUCAAAAAUUAAAAUUGAAAAAACUAAGCCUAUCAGCUACGAGUUACAAGAUUCCUAUCUAUGAAUCUUCCGAAGCUUGAUCUUGAGUCUUGGUUAGUUCUUCAUGCGGAGUCUGAUCUGAGUCUUGCGGCUUGUUAGUUGCAGGUGCUGGUUCUUUCUUCUUCAACUUUUCAAAUCAAGGCGGGACAUGCGAAGCUUGUGACUUCAAUCAUAUCUUGAGUAGUCUGCAUCU